CUUCACCGAACCCAGCCACAACGGCCGGUCCCCCGGCCGGUCCCGGCCGUACGUCGCCAGCAGCGCCUGCGCCUC
rnacentral:antisense_RNA from 1 species